rnacentral:lncRNA from 1 species
AUUAAAUAAUUAUACUUCCCCAAAGAUUAAUUUACCCAUAAAGCAUCUUCCAGCCUCCAAUUAACAAAGAGAAUAUCAAUAUAUAUCAUAAAAAUUUCUAUUCUAAAUAUAUUUUGCAAUUUUAUCAUAUUAUAAUUUCUUUGGGACUCGAUUUGACUUACCUCAGGAAUAUCUUUUCAUUUUCUAGCAAUUUGAUCUAAUUUUUCUGUACGAUUAUGAUUUAAAAUUUCUAUUUUAAUCCAUGAUUUUUUCUCGUGAAUCGAACAAAAGCAUAUUCUUUGAAUCCAAUACUAUUGGAAUUGAUUUUAUUUAACUAAAAGGAUACGUAAACGACUAAAAAAUUAUCAGCAAAAUCAAUCAAAACCAUACAUUUUCCUUCUCUUUGAUAAUUAGAUCUAGUUCCUUAUGCCCUCAAGGUCAGAACGGGAAUUUCAUCACAUCAUUAAAAAUUUCUCCUCAAUCAAACAAAAAAGGCAACUUCUUUGAAUCUAAUACUAAUAAUAUUCUGCAAUGGAUCAGCACAAUUCAUUUACUUUUUUGCAACUGCGAAACGCACCGAAUAUAUAUAUAUAUAUAUCCUCAAUACGCACCUCC